rnacentral:rRNA from 1 species
GUCCAGACUCCUACGGGAGGCAGCAGUGGGGGAUAUUGCACAAUGGGGGGAACCCUGAUGCAGCGACGCCGCGUGGGUGAAGGAGUGCUUCGGCAUGUAAAGCCCUAUCGGCAGGGAAGAAGCAAGACGGUACCUGACUAAGAAGCCCCGGCUAACUACGUGCCAGCAGCCGCGGGAAUACGUAGGGGGCAAGCGUUAUCCGGAUUUACUGGGUGUAAAGGGAGCGUAGACGGUCCUGCAAGCCAGAUGUGAAAGCCCGGGGCUCAACCCCGGGACUGCAUUUGGAACUGUAAGGCUAGAGUGUCGGAGAGGCAGGCGGAAUUCCUAGUGUAGCGGUGAAAUGCGUAGAUAUUAGGAGGAACACCAGUGGCGAAGGCGGCCUGCUGGACGAUGACUGACGUUGAGGCUCGAAAGCGUGGGGAGCAAACAGGAUUAGAUACCCGUGUAU